rnacentral:rRNA from 1 species
UACGUAGGGGGCAAGCGUUGUCCGGAUUUAUUGGGCGUAAAGAGCUCGUAGGUGGUUUGGUAAGUCGGGGGUGAAAUCCUGGAGCUCAACUCCAGAACUGCCUUCGAUACUGGCGAUCUUGAGUCCGGAAGAGGUGAGUGGAACUCCUAGUGUAGAGGUGGAAUUCGUAGAUAUUAGGAAGAACACCAGUGGCGAAGGCGGCUCACUGGUCCGGUACUGACGCUGAGGUGCGAAAAGCGUGGGGGAGCAAACAGG